rnacentral:ncRNA from 1 species
CUAUGAUUUAUAAAAUCAUGGCGGAAGGAG